GCCUUGGGAAAAAAAUCUUACAAGCUGCGAGCCGCCGCUGCAGCAGAUCGACUUUGUCAAGUUCAUCUGAGAGCACAGUUCGUACAAAACUUUGUCCUGGUCUUGAAUGACAAGAGAUAAAUCAAAAUGAGUGGAGCAUAUCCACCCAAGAAGAGGAAACUGACUGAUUUCAUCAAAAGAGUGGAGCCAAAGACUGGUGGAAAUGACACUGGACAGGGUGGCAGAAGUGAGGAGAUGUGUAAAGAGG